ensembl:snRNA U6 U6 spliceosomal RNA
GUGCUUGCUUCGGCAGCACAUAUACUAAAACUGGAAUGAUACAGAGAAGACUAGCAUGGCCUCUGCACAAGAAUGACACGCAAAUUUGUGAAGUGUUCCAUAUUUUU